GUGAAUGCUCCAUACUGCCACUGACUCAUGGACUCCGUGACACAACAGAGUCAGGUGGUCUUGUCACCGAAUACUAAACAUUACCAUGGACUUCUUGUAACUUUCCACUGGAAGGGAAAGGAGGUCAAGUUUGGGAAAGAGCGAAUUGCUGCCUUAUGUAAAUCCGAUUUACGGGUGGGGAGGAAGGCAAACGGACUCCUCCUCUCCGUGGCCUCUCUGCCCAAGAAGAAAGAUUUCUAAAGCCACCUGAAGGAAAGGCAGAGGGCAGUCCAGACUGAGACGGGGGUCCAGUCUGAAAAGAAAUAUACCUGGAACUCUGAACCACGGAAACGUUGCAACCUGCCUAAAAUAAUAUUUAGGGCUGAUGGGGGAUACUUAGCAACACUGUUCCCACGACGACCCACGUCCAGUUCUCGCCAUUUGCGUUUGCAGCGAGGAACACGUGCAUCUCUGAUGUGAUCGUCUCCCCUUCCCUUGUGUCCGAAUGAACUCAUGCAAGUUCUCACAGGGCUCAGCACAACGGAGCCUCGAUCGUGUGACACAGAUCCAGGGACUCCAAUAGCGUCAUCGGCUCCGCUCUCUGGACACGGGACACACCUCUGAGAGCUGGGACCAUCCACAGGAAUUUCAGGA